rnacentral:tRNA from 1 species
AGAAACUUAGGUUCACUUUAAACCGAAGGCCUUCAAAGCCUUAAACAAGAGUUAAACUCUCUUAGUUUCUG